GGGGGCCCGCAAGCGGUGGAGCAUGUGGUUUAAUUCGAUGCAACGCGAAGAACCUUACCUACUCUUGACAUCCAGAGAACUUAGCAGAGAUGCUUUGGUGCCUUCGGGAACUCUGAGACAGGUGCUGCAUGGCUGUCGUCAGCUCGUGUUGUGAAAUGUUGGGUUAAGUCCCGCAACGAGCGCAACCCUUAUCCUUUGUUGCCAUCGGUUCGGCCGGGAACUCAAAGGAGACUGCCAGUGAUAAACUGGAGGAAGGUGGGGAUGACGUCAAGUCAUCAUGGCCCUUACGAGUAGGGCUACACACGUGCUACAAUGGCGUAUACAAAGAGGAGCGACCUCGCGAGAGCAAGCGGACCUCAUAAAGUACGUCGUAGUCCGGAUUGAAGUCUGCAACUCGACUCCAUGAAGUCGGAAUCGCUAGUAAUCGUAGAUCAGAAUGCUACGGUGAAUACGUUCCCGGGGCCUUGUACACACC
rnacentral:rRNA from 1 species